AUGAACGCUAGCGGCAGGCUUAACACAUGCAAGUCGAGGGGCAGCACGGGUAGCAAUACCUGGUGGCGACCGGCGCAAGGGUGCGUAACGCGUGAGCAACAUGCCCUAUACAGGGGGAUAAUCCAGGGAAACUUGGUCUAAUAUCCCAUAGUAUUUAGAGGAGGCAUCUUCUAUAAAUUAAAGCUUCGGUGGUAUAGGAUUGGCUCGCGUGACAUUAGCUAGAUGGUGAGGUAACGGCUCACCAUGGCAAUGAUGUCUAGGGGUUCUGAGAGGAAGGCCCCCCACACUGGGACUGAGACACGGCCCAGACUCCUACGGGAGGCAGCAGUGAGGAAUAUUGGACAAUGGAUGGAAAUCUGAUCCAGCCAUUCCGCGUGCAGGAUGAAGGCCCUCGGGUUGUAAACUGCUUUUGUACAGAACGAAAAAGCUCUUUCUAAUACAGAGAGUCCAUGACGGUACUGUAAGAAUAAGCACCGGCUAACUACGUG
rnacentral:rRNA from 1 species